rnacentral:rRNA from 1 species
AUUGAACGCUGGCGGCAGGCCUAACACAUGCAAGUCGAGCGGGGUUUUCGGACCUAGCGGCGGACGGGUGAGUAAUGCGUAGGAAGCUACCCGAUAGAGGGGGAUACCAGUUGGAAACGACUGUUAAUACCGCAUAAUGUCUACGGACCAAAGUGUGGGACCUUCGGGCCACAUGCUAUCGGAUGUGCCUACGUGGGAUUAGCUAGUUGGUGAGGUAAUGGCUCACCAAGGCGACGAUCCCUAGCUGGUUUGAGAGGAUGAUCAGCCACACUGGAACUGAGACACGGUCCAGACUCCUACGGGAGGCAGCAUUGGGGAAUAUUGGACAAUGGGCGCAAGCUUGAUCCAGCCAUGCCGCGUGUGUGAAGAAGGCCUUCGGGUUGUAAAGCACUUUCAGUAAGGAGGAAGCGUUGAGUGUUAAUAGUACUCAGCGUUGACGUUACUUACAGAAGAAGCACCGGCUAACUCUGUGCCAGCCGCCGCAGUAACAC